CGUGCACGAUGGGCGCGUGGCGUGGGCAUGCACCUCUUGUUGAUGCAGGCGGCUGCAGGUGCGGCUCAUUGGCUGAUCGCGUCACGAGGACCGCGACACUCAUUCAUAAAAAUAGUUCACUUCCUGUGAUGUUUCUUUACGGUCAGAGCCAAGCACACGACUACUCCAACACUAUAAAACCAACGUGCAUGUUGGAGCUUUGGUGAGGAAAAAAAGAAUGCAGCAGAUGUUCAACGUGAGCUCCGAUUGAAAGCUUCGUGUUGCUUGUCGGCGUUGUGCUUGCACACUGAGUGUGCCCCCACUCCCCCCGACCCGAGAGUGCACUUCCUGCUCCGAAAGGAGCAGUAGCGUGUGAAGAAUGAGACAACGAAAGAUGCCGUGAAGAAGCUGAGAAACUUCAGGUUCUGGUCCAGGUUUCAGUUGUUAGAUGUUUCGGUAUAAAAUACUUUUGGGUUGAUUAUUCAUCUCGGAGACAUGGGGGGAAAAAACAGCAGCAAAUGACUUUGACAGAAGAGAACAACGUGUGCUUUCUUGCUGACCUCGGAUUGAACCACUGAUAGAAAGAAUCCAGGUCAAAGUGCCAGAACAUUGCACUUAAGUGGGACUUGAGUUUUGCCUCACAACUGUAAAGUCACCGAAUAAAAAUAUGACUUCUCCAUAACCA